GUGCACGCUGGCGGUAGGCCUAACCCAUGCAAGUCGCACGGCAGCACAGUAAGAGCCUGCUCUUACGGGUGGCGAGUGGCGGACGGGUGAGGAAUACAUCGGAAUCUACUUUUUCGUGGGGGAUAACGUAGGGAAACUUACGCUAAUACCGCAUACGACCUACGGGUGAAAGCAGGGGAUCUUCGGACCUUGCGCGAUUGAAUGAGCCGAUGUCGGAUUAGCUAGUUGGCGGGGUAAAGGCCCACCAAGGCGACGAUCCGUAGCUGGUCUGAGAGGAUGAUCAGCCACACUGGAACUGAGACACGGUCCAGACUCCUACGGGAGGCAGCAGUGGGGAAUAUUGGACAAUGGGCGCAAGCCUGAUCCAGCCAUACCGCGUGGGUGAAGAAGGCCUUCGGGUUGUAAAGCCCUUUUGUUGGGAAAGAAAAGCAGCAGGUUAAUACCCCGCUGUUCUGACGGUACCCAAAGAAUAAGCACCGGCUAACUUCGUG
rnacentral:rRNA from 1 species